rnacentral:rRNA from 1 species
UACGGAGGGGGCUAGCGUUGUUCGGAAUUACUGGGCGUAAAGCGCGCGUAUGCGGCUUUGUAAGUCAGAGGUGAAAGCCUGGAGCUCAACUCCAGAACUGCCUUUGAGACUGCAUCGCUAGAAUCAUGGAGAGGUUAGUGGAAUUCCGAGUGUAGAGGUGAAAUUCGUAGAUAUUCGGAAGAACACCAGUGGCGAAGGCGACUAACUGGACAUGUAUUGACGCUGAGGUGCGAAAGCGUGGGGAGCAAACAGG